GCCAGUGUGGUAUAGUGGUUUUAGCAUUAGAUUAUGACUCUGGAGACCAGGGUUCAAAUCCCAGCUCAACUA
rnacentral:tRNA from 1 species